rnacentral:lncRNA from 12 species
CUCAUUUCGAAUAUUUCGAAUUCAUUAACAUUAGAACAAGGUUAAGAACAAAUUCACGUGCGCAUGCAUGUGUUGCGAAUUAGGCAAAAAUUGUUCAUGAGAAGUUCUCCUGUGCGUAAAAGAUUAAUAAUCAAUGCAAUUGUUAGUGAGGGAGACCCAGUGUUUUUAAGGUUAUUAUAAAACCAAACACGCCGACUCAAGCCCUUAUUUUUAUUGCGUAUUUACGAUUUCACACUGCUGUCAGAUAUCCAAAUGUGGGUAAAUUAGUGGGACAGUGUAUAAUGACUUUCAUGAGGGUUUUGUUUAAGGUCAGGACCCUUGUGUGUGUUGACACAGCUGCCAUGGAGGCACUGCAGAAGAAAGACGUGGGGAAGUUUAUGUAAAGCCAGCCGAGGGUGCAGGGUCAGGGCCAAUCAUGGCAUGUAUACAUUUGUGCAUUAAAUGCAAAUUCUGGCAUUUUAGCUCCUUCACGACAGACAUAUUGGCAUCCUGGAUUUAGUAUUUCUGUUGCAUUAGCAAAGUAGGGUGAAUAAGGUUAUGUUUUUGUUAGGUGUGCCAGACCACUUGAUGGGGGUAGGGCGGUUGCUACCUGCAUUUCAAGGCUCUUUUGUCCACAUUCAUCUCUCAACAUGGCCCCUCAGUGCUGUCACUGGAGCGGCGCCUGUCUGUAGCGUUACAAACUAAAGAAGGGAAGUUAGGAUUGCGUGCUCAUCAGUUCUUGAGCUCAACCACUUGCGACCUUUGUCCUUCACAGACUUCCUGUAGGUGUGUGUAUUAGAAUAUCUAGUCUCUGAAAUGCAAAAUAACCACAAAGUGGGUCAUGCAUUAGAUGGAACUAAGAAUUUUCUUUGCCAACUCCUUGUUUGCACACCAAAAUGUUACAAAGGGAGUUACAAAAGAGUUUCGUUUUACUUUGCAUUGCUGUUAGAUCAUUUAGUGCUCUGGAUUCCAAAUUCUAAUCACACAAUAUUUGCCUGUAGCCAUCCAGACUCCAUCAAAUCAAUCUUAACAGCAGGCCGUCCAGCGAUCUAUUCAGAUAUAUCAAGAAUCUAUGAGACACACUGUAAUUAUCUGUUAACUUUAAACCUUAUGAUGCUCGACUGCUCAAUCGUCUUCUCCGCUCCACCCAUGGAGCUGGAUUAG